rnacentral:rRNA from 1 species
UACGAAGGGGGCUAGCGUUGUUCGGAAUUACUGGGCGUAAAGCGCACGUUAGGCGGACUGUUAAGUCAGGGGUGAAAUCCUGGAGCUCAACUCCAGAACUGCCUUUGAUACUGAUGGUCUCGAGUCCGGAAGAGGUGAGUGGAAUUCCGAGUGUAGAGGUGAAAUUCGUAGAUAUUCGGAGGAACACCAGUGGCGAAGGCGGACUCACUGGUCCGGUACUGACGCUGAGGUGCGAAAGCGUGGGGAG